rnacentral:rRNA from 1 species
GACGAACGCUGGCGGCGUGCUUAACACAUGCAAGUCGAACGGAAAGGCCCUGCACUUGUGGGGUGCUCGAGUGGCGAACGGGUGAGUAUCACGUGAGUAAACUGCCCUUGACUUUGGGAUAACUUCUGGAAACUGGGGCUCAUAUAGGAUAGGAGCUCUUGCUGCACGGUGGGGGAUGGUAAGUUUCGGCGGUUGGGGAUGGACUCGCGGCUUAUCAGCUUGUUGGUGGGGUAGUGGCUUACCAAGGCUUUGACGGGUAGCCGGCCUGAGAGGGUGACCGGCCACAAUGGGACUGAGAUACGGCCCAGACGCCUACGGGAGGCAGCAGUGGGGAAUAUGGCACAAUGGGCGGAAGCCGGAUGCAGCAACGCCGCGUGCGGGAUGACGGCCUUCGGGUUGUAAACCGCUUUCGCCUGUAACGAAGCGUGAGUGACGGUAAUGAGUAAAGAAGCACCGGCUAACUACGUG